rnacentral:rRNA from 1 species
GAUAACCUCGGGAAACUGAGAAUAAUACCCCAUAGUUCACCACGCCUGGAACGGUGGGUGGAUGAAAGCUCCGGCGGCAUAGGAUGGGCCUGCGGCGUAUCAGGUUGUAGGGGGUGUAAUGUACCCUCUAGCCAUCUACGCGUACGGGUGUUGGGAGACAUCGCCCGGAGAUGGAUUCUGAGACACGAAUCCAGACCCUACGGGGUGCAGCAGGCGCGAAAACUUGGCAAUGCGAGCAAUCGUGACCAGGGAACUCCAAGUGCAUCGGGUAAGACCGAUGCUUUUCUUGACUCUUCAAAGGUCUUGGAAUAAGGGGUGGGUAAGGACGGUGCCAGCCGCCGCGGUAAUACCGGCGCCUCAAGUGGUAGUCGCUUUUAUUGGGCCUAAAACGUCCGUAGCCGGUUUGGUACAUUCGUGGGUAAAUCAAGGCGCUCAACGUCUUGAAUUCUGCGAGCACGGCCAGACUUGGGACCGGGUGAGGUGUGGGGUACUCUCAGGGUAGGGGUAAAAUCCUGUCAUCCUGAGAGGACCACCUGUUGCGAAGGCGCCACACUAGAACGGAUCCGACGGUCAGGGACGA